GACGAACGCUGGCGGCGUGCUUAACACAUGCAAGUCGAACGGAAAGGCCCUGCUUUUGUGGGGUGCUCGAGUGGCGAACGGGUGAGUAACACGUGAGUAACCUGCCCUUGACUUUGGGAUAACUUCAGGAAACUGGGGCUAAUACCGGAUAGGAGCUCCUGCUGCAUGGUGGGGGUUGGAAAGUUUCGGCGGUUGGGGAUGGACUCGCGGCUUAUCAGCUUGUUGGUGGGGUAGUGGCUUACCAAGGCUUUGACGGGUAGCCGGCCUGAGAGGGUGACCGGCCACAUUGGGACUGAGAUACGGCACAGACUCCUACGGGAGGCAGCAGUGGGGAAUAUUGCACAAUGGGAGGAAGCCUGAUGCAGCAACGCCGCGUGCGGGAUGACGGCCUUCGGGUUGUAAACCGCUUUCGCAUGUGACGAAGCGUGAGUGACGGUAAUGGGUAAAGAAGCACCGGCUAACUACGUG
rnacentral:rRNA from 1 species